CGCCUGGGGAGUACGGCCGCAAGGUUAAAACUCAAAUGAAUUGACGGGGACCCGCACAAGUAGUGGAGCAUGUGGUUUAAUUCGAAGAUACGCGCAGAACCUUACCAACACUUGACAUGUUCGUCGCGACUCUAAGAGAUUAGAGUUUUCGGUUCGGCCGGACGAAACACAGGUGCUGCAUGGCUGUCGUCAGCUCGUGUCGUGAGAUGUUGGGUUAAGUCCCGCAACGAGCGCAACCCUCACUUUUAGUUGCCAUCAUUAAGUUGGGCACUCUGAAAGAACUGCCAGUGAUAAGCUGGAGGAAGGUGGGGAUGACGUCAAGUCCUCAUGGCCCUUACGUGUUGGGCUACACACGUGCUACAAUGGUAUCUACAACAGGAAGCAAAACGGCAACGUUAAGCAAAUCCCGAAAAGAUACCUCAGUUCGGAUUGCACUCUGCAACUCGAGUGCAUGAAGCUGGAAUUACUAGUAAUCGUGGAUCAGCGUGCCACGGUGAAUGCGUUCCCGGGUCUUGUACACACCGCCCGUCACACCAUGGGAGUUGGUUCUACCUUAAGGCAAGGUUUUAAACCCUUGACCACGGUAUAGUCAGCGACUGGGGUGAAGUCGUAACAAGGUAACCGUA
rnacentral:rRNA from 1 species